rnacentral:lncRNA from 1 species
AUCUCAAGAACAUAUGUGAAUUACAAUUUCCAACACAAGCAAUUUCCAAGUACUAACCUAGCAUUGCAAUUGAAAUUACUAAUCAAGAACUACGCACAUAACUCAUCAUAGGCAAUUAACUUGGCUUAACUUCAUAAUUCAUGCAAAUGCUCGUGAUACUGACUACGACAAUUACCACUAAACAUGUAAAAUAAAAAAAAUUGAGAAAAAUAGAAAGGAAAACGUGAGAAAUAAUCAAAGCAAAAUAAAAUAAACGUGAACUACAUGAACUAACUAACACAUGCAAUAAUAAACUACAUUAUAAUAAUAUGAUCUUCCUUAGAUUACCACCCCCAAACUUAAAAUUUUCAAUGUCCCCAUUGAAAGUGAUAAAAAGGCUAGAGCACCCACAUACCUACUCGGAGUCCGAGUCCUCCCCCUCCUCUGCUGGAGGUGAAUCAGGUGGAGGAUACUGCAUCCCUGCUCCGAAUACUGGCCACUGAACUGUGACCCCCUGUGCCUGGAAAGCACUACCU